UCUCGCAUUAGGCGAAGUGUGGCGACCGAACGAAUCGCAGAAAUCUUUUCACUAACACUGGCAGAUGUGGUAAUGUCAGUUUCUAGUAAACUCCAGGCGCAUUUACUAUAAAUGGCGAAGCGCCCCAAUAACGGUUCAAGUUACUCAAGAAAUAAAAGUUGCGCUUGCAAUUGGGACGAACACCGAACUACAAAACCUACGACACCUUUUUUUCAGGUUCACAACGGACGCCACAUUAAAAACAUACGUCUCAUAACCGAUGUCUUUGAGCCCGGCUGCACAAUGGUAGACAACACGCCGGUAGAAUGCCUUUGUAACGUCAACACAAAAGGACUGAAUGCACCGUAAAAACAAUAAGUUGAUUUAACGGGAAUAUAAAAUGAAACGGUACCCAAGCAACUUUUAAACGUGCACAAGAGAAGCUGUAGUGCUGUCUCCGACUGUGCUUCAUCCAGUCAUCCGGGUGUUUACGUGAGGACAAUGGAUUAGAAUCUGGUCGGGAUGGAAAGUUUCACGGAAAUGCAGGCUACUCCUCGCGUCGCGAACAAUGGGAGGAAAAAACUGUACAUUUUUCAUGCACACACGCGCCUUUGUGUUAAUAUUUUCAUUGUCCAGAUUUUAGAGGGCUGAUACGGGGAAGCUGGGGGAAAUGCAGAUUUUAUAGUGUGUUGAGAAAUAAAAAUUUAAAUAAGCUUUCACGUACUAGGAAGAUACUAAUUGAUAUUUGUAUAUACUAGGUGUUUCUAAAAUAGGUAAACAAGUAGAAUAAUCUAAUAACAAUUUAAUUAAAGAAUGGCUCGCUUCCCAAGGAGUACCAACACAGCUCAAUGCCCAGACCUCAAUCCAAGUGAAAACCUUUGAAAUUGGUUUGAAAAUCCAUGUAAAAAAACGGUCAAUUUUGAAUGUCACCAGAUCUUAAUCCAUUUGAUUUUACAGUGUGGUGCCAAAUGAAAGAGCAUUAGCAGCCAAUAACAUUUCAACAUUUCAAAGAAUCUAAAAUGUAUUUAAUGAAAUUAACGAAGGGUAAAAACUGACCACAGAAGAGAGAAGAAGAAAUGCAAGUUAAUAAUUACCAUAUUUAAACUUGAUUGGACCAAAGGUUAUGGAAAUAUGAGAAACAAUUUUUGAAAUUUAAAUUUGAGGGGCUUCUUCAGGAGAAACUUUAGAAAAAAGAAAUAUAUUUAGAUUUUCUUCACAAUUGGACAUGUUCUAUUGCCCCUAAGUUUUGAUCAACAAUUUUAGGAACAUCUUGUAUAAACUUAACAUUUUGGAUUACCUUCCUCUGAACCUCAAGAAAGGAGAUAAAGACUGAAAGGAUAUAUCAUAUAGUAGAUGUUUAUAUAUUUUUUUUAAUACAAACAGUUUCACAACGUU